CUUCACUUAGCUCCAAGCUCCGUGCCCAUACACACCUUUUUCUCCACUUUUUCUUAUGAAAGAGAUACUCCAUUUAUCCAGAAAACGACUUUUACAAGACGAAUUGGCAAAGGGUCUGUGAAUCUAGAGAUCUCGCAGCAAACAAGUUGUCCCGGAAGAGACCACCAAGCCCAAGUCUCGUUCCUUACGGAUCCAUAUACUAUUGUUUUACCCUGUAUAAAUUGUAAAUAUAUAUUGGUGAAAUGUU